UACGUAGGGAGCAAGCGUUGUCCGGAAUCAUUGGGCGUAAAGCGCGCGUAGGUGGCCACAUAAGUCCGUUGUGAAAGUCAAAGGCUCAACCUUUGAAAGCCGAUGGAUACUGUGUAGCUAGAGUACGGAAGAGGCGAGUGGAAUUCCUGGUGUAGCGGUGGAAUGCGCAGAUAUCAGGAGGAACACCAAUAGCGAAGGCAGCUCGCUGGGACGUUACUGACACUGAGGCGCGAAAGCGUGGGGAGCGAACAGG
rnacentral:rRNA from 1 species